GGAGGGUGCGAGCGUUGUUCGGAAUCACUGGGCGUAAAGCGCGUGUAGGCGGGCCCGUCAAGUCUGAUGUGAAAGCCCGGGGGCUCACCCCCGGAAGGGCAUUGGAAACUGGCGGACUAGAGUCUCGGAGAGGAGGGUGGAAUUCCUGGUGUAGCGGUGAAAUGCGUAGAUACCAGGAGGAACACCGGUGGCGAAGGCGGCCCUCUGGACGAUGACUGACGCUGAGACGCGAAAGCGUGGGGAGCAAACAGGAUUAGAUACCCUGGUAGUCCACGCCGUAAACGAUGAGCACUAGGUGUCGCGGGUAUUGACCCCUGCGGUGCCGCCGCUAACGCAUUAAGUGCUCCGCCUGGGGACUACGGCCGCAAGGCUA
rnacentral:rRNA from 1 species